UUGCAGUGCUAACACAAACCUGUACCACUGAGCUAUACAGGAACACAGAAUGUAUAACUUGUGUGCAAACAUAAAGACCGGCCCCCUGGAGGAAUAAAAACACAAUGACAGGAAGCUGUCCAGUGCUGAAAUCACAUACUUGAGGAAUUGAGACAGAAAUUUUUGCAGUCCUACAAAAUGGGAUUUGAGGGGGGUUUAUAAUAUAUAUGCCAGACAUGACCACAUUUAAAAAGUCAUCUGAAAGGUGAACUGGGACUUCCACAGAUGGUGUUGUCCAGUCGACUGAUGAGCAAGAGCCCAGUGGGGUGAAGUUUUCUGUUGAGGAGGCAAUAUGUUCCCAUGUCAGCAGGUUAGACCAACUGGCAAAAGGGGAGAGUUGAAGGAUAUGAUGAUGGAAGAAGAAGAUAACGAUGCUUUAUAAGGAAUGAAUGGUGUUGGAGUAUUCAGAGGAAACGUGAUGACGAUAGUAGGGUUUGGGGAAAGACCUUGGCCCACAAAAUCUCAAAGGACAGUCUCACGCACGAGCGUGCACGCAUGUGCAGCUCUCAAUGACAUGCACGCACAUGCAUUCCCAUGUGCACAUUCAUGAUUUCAGAGUAAAAGCAACCAGUGAAAAAGCUUAA